rnacentral:rRNA from 1 species
GUGUCAGCAGCCGCGGUAACACGUAGGGGGCGAGCGUUGUCCGGAUUUAUUGGGCGUAAAGAGCUCGUAGGCGGUUCGCUAAGUCGGGUGUGAAACCUCCAGGCUCAACCUGGAGACGCCACCUGAUACUGGUGUGACUAGAGUCCGGUAGGGGAGUGUGGAACUCCUGGUGUAGCGGUGAAAUGCGCAGAUAUCAGGAAGAACACCAGCGGCGAAGGCGGCACUCUGGGCCGGUACUGACGCUGAGGAGCGAAAGCGUGGGUAGCAAACAGGAUUAGAUACCCCAGUAGUCC